GACGAACGCUGGCGGCGUGCUUAACACAUGCAAGUCGAACGGAAAGGCCCUGCUCUUUUGGGUUGCUCGAGAGGCGCACGUGUGUGUAACACGUGAGUAACCUGCCCUUGACUUUGGGAUAACUUCAGGAAACUGGGGCUAAUACCGGAAAGGAGCUCCUGCUGCAUGGUGGGGGUUGGAAAGUUUCGGCGGUUGGGGAUGGACUCUCGGCUUAUCAGCUUGGUGGUGGGGUAGUGGCUUACCAAGGCUUUGACGGGUAGCCGGCCUGAGAGGGUGACCGGCCACAUUGGGACUGAGGUACGGCCCAGAGUCCUACGGGAGGCAGCAGUGGGGAAUAUUGCACAAUGGGCGGAAGCCUGAUGCAGGAACGGCGCGAGCGGGAUGACGGCCGUCGGGUUGUAGACCGCUUUCGCCUGUGACGAAGCGUGAGUGACGGUAAUGGGUAAAGAAGCACCGGCUAACUACGUG
rnacentral:rRNA from 1 species